AUUUGACCUGCAGAAACGGCAACUUCGCGUGGCACAACCUAACUGACAGACACCUCUAGAAAGCUGUCAAGGUUUCCGGGGCUCAAAGCCAGUCUGGGGUGGGGGUGGCAGGGCAUCAGAAGAGCCAGUGAGGCCCAUGAGCCAGGAACACCCAUCCUAAUCCUAGCAGGGCGUCCAGAGUCCACAGCCACUCCUGCACUCUGCUUUGUUUUAUUGUUGUUUUGUUUUUUGAGACAGAGUCUUGCUCUGUCACCCAAGGCUGUAGCGCAGUGGUGCAAUCACCAUGUUGGCCAGGCCGGUCUGGAACUCCUGACCUCAAGUGAGGCCUGCCUUGGACUCCCAAAGUGCUGGGAUGACAGGCAUGAGCCACCGCGCUGGCUCUGCACUCGGCUUUGAAGCUGGUUUCAGUUCCAGAUUUGAGUGGGGGGUGAGUCCCCUGCCCCACCCUCUUCCUGACAAAGGCCUCCUGAAGGGAACAGAGGGCUCUCACCAAAAUGGCUCCAUUAACUUAUUUCCAAAUGUCUGUAUGGAAAAAUGGGCUGGAUGACUGGCAGUUUUCAGGCAUGAGUUCUAGAUUUCCCUCUUCAACCUACUACUGUUCCCAAUGCUGGUUACAAGUGUUUAAAAGUCCAUCCUUUGAGUUGCCUUCCUUUCUCUCAAGACUUGUCUCCUUGGUCCUUGGUAAGUUUACAUGCCCAGCCACUUUUUUUUUUUUUUUUUUUUGAGACAGGAUCUGGCUCUUUCACCUGGACUGGAGUGGAGUGGUGCCAUCAUGGCUCACAGCACCCUCAACCUCCAGGGCUCAGGUGAUCCUCCCACCUCAACUUCCCAAGUAGCAGGACCACAGGUGCACACCACCGUGCCCUGCUAAUUUUUGUACUUUUUAUAGAGAUGGGGUCUCGCCAUGCUGCCCAGCCUGGUCUCGUCUCGAGUUCCUGACCUCAAGUGAUCCUCCUGCCUCAGCCUCCCAAGGUGCUAGAAUUACAGGUGUGAGCCACCAUGCCCUGCUUUUUUGUCUUUGUGUUUACCUAUAUUUUCUUUCUUUUUUUUUUUUUUUGAGACAGGGUCUCACUGUGUCACAUUGGUGUGAUCGUGGCUCACUGUAGCCUCAACCUCCCCUGCCCAAGCUAUCCUCCCACCUCAGUCUCCCGAGUAGCUGUGACCACAGGUGGGCACCACCACACCCAGCUAAUGUUUAAUUUUUUUGUAGAGAUGGAAUUUCCCUAUGUUGCCCAGGCUGGUCUCAAACUCCUGGGCUCAGGCAAUCCUCCUGCCUCAACCUCCCAAAAUGCUGGGAUUACAGGCAUGAGCCACCACACCUGGCCUGUAUUUUCUAAUUUCCAAAAUAAACAUGUAUUACUUAUAUACACAUUUUUAACUUAAAAAGUUAACAUCAGUUUCCUGGGAGGAAAUAAGCCUUAAAGCUGAGGUUGCAAAGUGGCAACCCAUAGACCAUAUUCAGUGCAGAAACAUGCCUUGUUUAAUCCCACCGUCAAUUCCUAAGAGACUGUAUUAGGGAAGACUCUUGGGGAAAAUUGCAGUUAAAAAUGCAAAAAGCAAAGGACCACUGCAUGGGUGGUCCAGUCACGGAAGGUGCUCCAAGCUCACAAUCAAUGUCUGUAAGGUUAAGGAGGUGGUCUCGACUUCCCCUCCUGCUGAGUAGCGGGCAGCAUCGGCAGGAGAGUGGCCAUGUAGGAUGGCGACCCAGGGAGCUAAAAAUCCCAUGAUGACAAGGAGCUCCCACACCCAGACAAGCCACCAAAACCAGAGCCUCACAGCGUUGUCGUCUCUUCUCCACGAAUCAGAAGAAACACUGGAUUGGAAUCAAAUCAGCAGUCAGACAAAUAGAAAUACCUAAGUAUGAAGGGUUACACACCAGCACAAGUCAGCAAAUAAUUAAGGAAAGCCAGCACUCUGGGAGAAAGCGGGUACCUGAGAACUAGCAAGGGGGAGAAAGUUAACAAAUAUUUUAAAAAUAACUAAUAGUUUAGGAAAGAACAGAAGAUUCUGUACCAUGGAGCAAUAAUAGCCCAUUAUGAAAAAGAGGCAAAUGAGGUCUUGGAAAAUAAAUAUAAAUAUACAAAUAUACAAGUAUGAUUUUUUAAAAGUUGAGUUGAAACGAAAAUAUAGAAAAAAAGCAAAGUGAAUAAAGCUGAAAAACACAGCAGUAAGCUAAAAGAUUAAACUGAAGGUUUAUAUAAAAAGUAACCAGACAUGGUGGCACAUGCCUCUAGCCCCAGCUACUUGGGAGGUGACGCACGAGAAUCGCUUGAACCCGGGAGGCAGAGUUUGCACCACUGCCCUCCAGCCUGGGCAACAGAGCAAGACUCUGUCUCCAAAAAUACACAGGCCAGGCACGGUAGCUCAUCCAAGAGCUGCAUUAACUGGAGUGAGAUGAUGAUAUGGUUUAACUGGGGUGAGAUGAUGAUAUGAUUUGGGUGUCCCCACCCAAAUCUCAUCUUGAAUUCCCAUGUGUUGUGGGAGGGACCCGGUGGAGGUAAUUGAAUCAUGGGGGGCAGGCCUUUCCUGUGCUGUUCUAGUGAUAGUGAAUAAGUCUCAUGAGAUCUGAUGAUUUUUAAAAAGGGGAGUUUCCCUGCACAAGCUCUCUUCUCUUGUCUGCGGCCAUGUGAGAUGUGUCUUUCACCUUCCACCAUGAUUGUGAGGCCUCCCCAGCCACAUGGAACUGUGAGUCCCUUAAACCUCUUUCUUUUGUAAGUUGCUCAGUCUCGGGUAUGCCUUUAUCAGUAGUGUGAAAAUGGACUAAUACAGAUGAUUUCUCAUUUAGUGUGUUGUUGUUUUGUUUGUUUGUUUUGAGACAGGGUCUUACUGUGUUGCCCAGGCUGGAGUGCAGUAAUACAAUCAAGGCUUACUGCAUCCUUUACCUCCUGGACUCAAGUGAUCCUCCCACUUCAGCCUCCAGAGUAGCUUGGACUACAGGUAUGUGCCAUUACACCUGGCCAAUUUAUUAAUUUUUUGUAGAGACUGGGUCUCCCCAUGUUGCCCAGGCUGGUCUUGAACUCCUGGGCUUAAGUGAUCCUCCCACCUCACCCUCCCAGAGUGCUGGGAUUACAGGUGUGAGCCGUCACACCUGGCCUCGUUGUAGUUUUGAUUUGCAUUACUCUGAUGAUCAGUGAUGUUGAGCAUCUUUUCAUAUACCUGUUUGCCAUUUGUAUGUCUUCUUUUGAUAAAUGUCUAUUCAGUUCUUUUGCCCAUUUUAAAUCAGAUGAUUAGAUUUUUUUUCCUGUAGAGUUGUUUGAGCUCCUUAUAUUGUCACCUCAAUAAAUUUUAGAGGAUAGAAGGUAAAAUAGUCUUUUCAUCCAUUGGCCACAUUAGAAAGAAUUACUACUAGAGGUUGUUCUCUCCAAGAAGACAAAAAUGAAAUUCAAGUACGAGAACGAUAUGGAACACAAGAAACAGUGUAGCACAAAAAAUAAAACUUAAAACUGGGUUUUUAAAGUUAUGAUUAAAAAAAGAGUUUUCGCCAGGUCCAGUGGCUCACGCCUGUAAUCCUAGCACUUUGGGAAGCCAAGGCAGGUGGAUCA
rnacentral:lncRNA from 10 species